AAUGAACGUUGGCGGCGUGGAUUAGGCAUGCAAGUCGUGCGGCAGCAGGCCCCGCAAGGGGUGCUGGCGAGCGGCGAAAGGGUCAGUAACACGUGGAUAACCUACCCCCGGGCCCGGAAUAGCGGCGGGAAACUGCCGGUAAUGCUGGAUAAUGUCCCUGGACCAAAGGUGUGAUUCCGUCCGAGGAUGGGUCCGCGUCCUAUUAGCUAGUUGGUGAGGUAACGGCCCACCAAGGCAAAGAUGGGUAGGGGGUGUGAGAGCAUGACCCCCGACGCUGGGACUGAGACACUGCCCAGACACCUGCGGGUGGCUGCAGUCGAGAAUGUUCGGCAAUGGGCGCAAGCCUGACCGAGCGACGCCGCGUGCGGGAUGAAGGCCUUCGGGUUGUAAACCGCUGUCAGAGGGGCGGAAAUAUGUUGGAGUUCUCUCCAGCAUUUGACUUAACCUCAGAGGAAGCAUGGGCUAAGUUCGUGCCAGCCGCCGCCGUAACAC
rnacentral:rRNA from 1 species